rnacentral:lncRNA from 7 species
CAUUGACUCUGACAGAAGCCUAGGGUGACUAACUUAGAUUAGGUGUCUAACUUUUACCUGUCUAAAGUUAGGAGAUGCAAAUCUUUCUCCUGAAGACAUAAAUGGGUUUUGGAUCACUCCUUAAGUCAACUGUGGUGCAAUGAAACUCAGUUCAGAGAUAGGGAGACAACAGUUUCAAUUUAGUGCCUGGAAGAAAGAGACUGUUCAGUUCUUUCCCCAGAACUACACAUUGUGGGUUUAUGAGCUUUCUCAAGGUGUUAUGUACUAAUCAGCCUGAGGAAGGAUCUCACAAUCUGAUCUUGCUCCUUUCCUCCCAAAUGCCACGCAGUCAUCUCAAUUCACUUCAUCUGCGGCAGUGACUUACCUUCUUUCUUGCUAACUCUGCAUUCCAGCAAAAAAAUUGAAAUGAAAGGAGAAGCUUAUGAAUCCAGACUGAUGCAAAGGUAACUGCUACCCUUCAAUAUUCGACCCUAUCUUCUGUCUGAAGACUCUUACUAAUUGUUGGAGACUCAUUUACCAGCAAAGGCAAUUGGUGGAGAAAGAGAUUGCAGUUGUGAGAGUGGGAGGGAAGGAAGACUUUGGAUUUCAUGCUGCUGACUGCAGCAAACCACAACAGACACAGGUCCCAUGGUAUUCAUGCAAGCCACUUACAACAUCAGUCUCCCUGCUCUUGCAAGUGAACCUACUUGUAAGGACAUUUCCUUGGGGCUAAUGGCUUUAUGAAUGUUGACAUCUGUUGCAUGCAGUAAAUUGAAGCUAUUUUCUUCCCUGGUGUAGCACAGCCACUACAGAAACACUGGAAAUCAGGAUGACAUUCAGCUUUCUUGCCAGUCAGUUGAUGGACAUUUUUUAUACAACGGAUAAGUCAUUUUAAAAUGUUUUCAUCAUAAAAUGAAGCCCAUGAAUCUCCUAGGCACUGAACAGGGAAUCAGAAGCAAGUGUUCAUUUCUAUCCCCACCCAUUUCUAUCCUCAUAUUUCAGCCUUGUGAAAUAUCAGAAAAAUAUAAAGACUCAAAGAUUCUCAUCAUCCAGUCUCUGGAAACAUUUCUAUUUUGUGUAUGAAAAAAUUAUUAUGAGAUAUAAAAACAAAGGAUAAAGUGUGUGCAUUCAUGUUCUGGAAAAG